rnacentral:rRNA from 1 species
AUUGAGCGCUGGCGGCAGGCUUAACACAUGCAAGUCGAGCGGGGAAGGGUAGCUUGCUACCUAACCUAGCGGCGGACGGGUGAGUAAUGCUUAGGAAUCUGCCAUUUAGUGGGGGACAACAUUCCGAAAGGAAUGCUAAUACCGCAUACGUCCUACGGGAGAAAGCAGGGGAUCUUCGGACCUUGCGCUAAAUGAUGAGCCUAAGUCGGAUUAGCUAGUUGGUGGGGUAAAGGCCUACCAAGGCGACGAUCUGUAGCGGGUCUGAGAGGAUGAUCCGCCACACUGGGACUGAGACACGGCCCAGACUCCUACGGGAGGCAGCAGUGGGGAAUAUUGGACAAUGGGCGGAAGCCUGAUCCAGCCAUGCCGCGUGUGUGAAGAAGGCCUUAUGGUUGUAAAGCACUUUAAGCGAGGAGGAGGCUACUUAGAUUAAUACUCUAGGAUAGUGGACGUUACUCGCAGAAUAAGCACCGGCUAACUCUGUGCCAGCAGCCGCGGUAA